rnacentral:tRNA from 1 species
AUCUGGGUGGUGUAGUUGGUAGCACUGUUGCCUUGCAGCAAGAGGGUCCUGGGUUUGAAUCCCAGACCAGUUU